UCCAUCACGCGCAGGGGGCGGGGACAGAGGGACACUUUCCCUGCCAUUCUCCUGCUUUUCCAAUGAAAAAGAGGGAUUUGGCCAGAGUGGGCGGCCCUUAUCCGCCUCUUCCACGGUGGACGUCCUCCAGUAGGGUCCGGGCGAGUCGGGCUCAGCUCAGGCGAAAGGGUGAAGUGUACGUCGAUCAAAAGGCCUCACCAAUGGGUUCACGCGUUGCUCGUGGCACCCGCCCCCGCCUCGGCCUCCCGGCGCCCGCGCUGCCUUCCCUCAGGCCGCCGCGGCGGUGCCGGUCCCGCGCCUCCAUUUACGUUCAGGCUCGCUGCUCUCCGGGCGCGGUGGCUGUCGGCCACGGGCGCGAGGGCCCCUCAAUCCCCGCGGCGGUGGUGGUCACCUUUCUCUGGGAGCCUAAGGUGGGUACAGCUUACAGCAGGCAUGACGGCGAGAGCGGGGAGGUCGCCAUUUUUUCCCCUUAGACUCGCGGCAGCAGGAGGGCAGAGUUGUGGACUGGCCCGCCGCGGCCUGGAGCCCGCGGUGUGGCUCGGGACCCAUGGCGAGGCCAGGCAUCCUCUGGUGGACGGGUGGCUCCGGGACUAGUGGCGUACGAGGCUGCAGCCCUCCGGACGCGGGCGGGGGAGGGGUGCCGCGUGGCCGCGGUUGCCCUGCCCCAGCCCCCUCCGCUUCCCGCCCAGUUCCUCACCGACCGGGCGGGGGAGGGGGGGUCAUUCUUCACAUUCCUUACCCCGCCCUUCCCCCCUUCAAUCAAACUUGGGGCGGGCGGAAGUUCCGCCCCUUAGCUGGCGCCUGUUGGCUGGCGCCGCCUCUUACUGUGGCGUGACUGGUUGCGCGCGUUGCCAGGCUCCAAUGACGUCAUUUCCGCCACCAGGUUUGUGGGCCAGGGAGACCUUGGCCUUGGGGGUUGGGAUAAAGGAGGGAAGGUAGGAAGUGUGGUUGGGGGUGGGGUAGUGACCGAGCGGGAAGGCGCGGGCGGGCCAGCGUGGAGGGCGGGAGAGCCGAGGCUGGCUCUUUGCCCCGUGCUUUACUCUGCUGUGUGAGGCCUCAAGUCCCAGAGCAGCUGCGGUGGCUGGAGGUCUGUGGCGGCGGCCGUCCUUGGUGAGGGGGAAGGGAGCGCGAGAACGGGAAGAAAUUGUAUCCCGGGGGAGUGGGUGGUGGUGUUGGGGAUUUGCGGCUCGGUGUCACCGGAAACACCGCUGGCCUUUUGACUCAACGUCGCAAACUCUUGGAACCAAAUGCCUCUCCGAAGGCUAGCUAAUAAACUUCCCUAGCGCGCUUUAUCGUGAGCAAUGUGUAAGUAACCUUUAUGUCCUUGGCCAGGAACUUUUAAAAAAAGAUUUUUUUACUAUAGGUUCUGUUACGGGGUGGUGUGAAUUUUACUUUUCAACCUUUUGGCUUAAGAGAAAAAAGAUUUAAUUAGGAGAGGACUGGCAAAUGAGGAAGAAAAGAAGACCUUAGAGACAGUCUUGGCAGUGAAUCUGGGGACUAAGUUGAGAUUUCAUCUUGUAACUAUGAAAAAAUCAUGCUCUCUUGGCAGUCAAGUUGAAACAGCAUGUAGCUUCCUCAUUUGUUUUUGUUGGCCUGAAAAGUGCUAUAUAAGAAAAUUGAAUGUCAAGUUUCAAACAAGUAUGUCAUUUAGAAGAUAAUUUCCUUAGCUAGUUUUUUCUACUGAAAGGCAAACUGGUUUCCUUUACAGUAUAUCAAAGUGAAUAAAUCAGGAACGAUUUGGAAGUUAGAGCUUUAUGAGGAUGUUUUACACAGUUGUUUAGAAUAUUUGAAACUUAAGAACUUUAUGAGAAAGAAGAAAUGUCUUACCAUCUUAUAAGUCCAGUUAUGACUAAUAUAUUCCAGCAGGCCACGGCUACACAUGCAUAUAAAAUUAACGUUUGUUGAAUUUGAGACUUAGUACUUCUGCAAGUUGAAGGAGUGGAGAGAAACGAAAUACUUGGUUAUAGAACGAAAAAGUUUGUGAGUCAGAGUUCAUACAGUGAACAGGUUAAUUUCAAAUGUUACUCUAAGGGACUUUAUUUUCCCUGGUAGAAUUAACUAAACACUGCUUAACUUUAGAGUACAGCAAUGUAGAUGUUUGCCUUUUACUGUAAAAGGUAAUGUUGUAAGUGAUAAUAGUGUUGAAGUGGGAAUUAGUAUGAAGAGCAUUAAACCAGUGUCUCAAACUUUAUGGCCUGAAUCAUUGGGUUAUGAAAUCCAUUUUAUGGGUCAUCACAGAGUUUAAAGAAAAAAAGGUAAUAAGAAUACACAAAAUACUGUGUUGAUUUAGCUAUACACACCCCUACAAAAUAUUUUAUGAGUGUCAAAAAAGGUUGAAAAACAGUCCAAAGAAAGUAAUUUUCACUCAUAGCACUGGUCUUCUUCAGCCUUCUUUAUAUUCAGUGCAACAUGUUCCCCUCACUUGAGUUUUUAAUGAUGUGGGAAAUAGAUUUGCCAUUCAGGAUUAGCAUGUAUUUUAAUCAUGUACUACAUUUUUUAAUAGCCCAAGAAGUUUAGGUUGUAAAAGAUCUUUUCAGUCCUGAAUAUUAAUUGCUAAUCAUGUCUUCUGUCAGGAUGAGGCUAGAAUAAUCUGGAUCCCAGUAAUGAGUUGUCCACAUUGCCUCAUGUGACCUCAGGAGGACUGGAGUAAUAGGCCUUCUGGUCAUUACCUGAUCUUUGCCUGUGGAUUAUGGAGGCAAAGAGAACCGUCUAGUGGUGUUCAGCUGGCUUCCUUUUCAACAUUGACUCUGGAUGUUCUCUUCACUGUGGGAUGAGGUAGUAGGUUGUAUAGUUUUAGGGUCACACCCACCACUGGGAGAUAACUAUACAAUCUACUGUCUUUCCUAAGGUGAUGGAAAAGUCUGCAUUUAGGCAACUUCACGGAAAAUCAAUAACAAAAUGCUGUUUAACUCCUCUAAAGGCAUACUUUUUAUUAUCUCAUCUGUAUAUUAUAGAAUAAGUUUGUAUUUUAUUUUGGUAGAUGCUAUGAUUAUCUUUUUUUUUUUUUUUUGAGAUUUUGCUCUCUAGUCCUGAAGAAAAGAUUGCUCUGUCAGAGUGAGGUAGUAGAUUGUAUAGUUGUGGGGUAGUGAUUUUACCCUGUUAAGGAGAUAACUAUACAAUCUAUUGCCUUCCCUGACGAGUAGACUUGCUACAUAUUUUUUCUCUAAAUAUCAUGAAAGUGAUGAAUUUUGACAUUCCUUGUAUUUUCUCCUAGUGUAUGGUGAUCUAAUGUUUCUAAUUCUUAAAUAUAUUUCAGAAAACUAAAAUUAAGCAAAAAUCUUAAAGUAAGUAUGCUUCAGGAAUCCUUAAUAGAAAUCCAGGCCUGGGGAUUAAGAGCAAGUUUAUUGGUUGUGUCUAGGAUGAGAGACACUGGCUAGUCGAGGUACACACAAAUCAGAAGAGAUGUAAACUAAAUAAGAAUCACAGAGUAUUCUCACUGAGUUUCAGUGGUCUUGGAAAAUGCUUUAAAACACUGCUUUAUUGGUAUGUUGGUUUGGAUGGGCUUUAUUUGCCAGCCUGGGAAAGGAGAUACGGGCUCUGGAUUUUACACUUGCUCCCUGGUAAGUUGCUAAGACCUCAGCAGAGUUGCUCUCAAAACUUGAUAUUUUGGGCAAUCACCUAAAAGUGUCCUCUGGGAAAGUCAGUGAUUUGUUGCUAAAAAGAAAAUAUGAGAACAGUCUACUUGAAGCUCGGUGCUGGUGGCUCUCCAUGUGUAAUGUCCCAGUUACUCAGCCUCAAGACCUGCAUCUCUAACCAGCAAAAAAUGAUUUGGAGGCAUGGGUCAAGUAGGUAGAGUGCUAGCCUUGAGCAAGAAAGCCAACUAAUUGUGUGAAGCCC